AGAGUUGAAGUUCUUUCAUGAUCUUGUGAGAGGUGGUGCAUGGCCGUUCUUAGUUCGUGUAGUGAUAUGUCUGCCUAAUCGCGUCACGAUAACCUAUUGGUCGACAACCCAAUUAUCACAACUGCAGCAUAACUCCCCUUGGGUGGGCGAGGCUCUGUGUAGGAUAGACCUCUGAACAGUACGCAACGAACGCGAUCGUAAUCCCUUGUUGAGUGGCCAUCCUGUAAGCUGCUGGAUUAGGAACCCAGUGGUAUUAUCUCAGCCACAGAUUUUCUGGUUGUAAUGGGCCAGUUUUGAAACUCGGGGAACAUCUGUGACUUUCUUUCUUAACGCAGAGGAAGGUUAUGGCAAUAACAGGUCUGGUGAUGCAA
rnacentral:rRNA from 1 species